GCUUACGGCCAUACCACUCUGAACACGCCCGAUCUCGUCUGAUAUUGGAAGCUAAGCAGGGUCGGGCCUGGUUAGUACUUGGAUGGGAGANNGCCUGGGAAUACCAGGUGCUGUAAGCUU
rnacentral:rRNA from 1 species